rnacentral:misc_RNA from 1 species
CUCACACUUACGGAGAUCGCCGUUGAACAGAAUUUUUAAACGGAGCAGGUCAAGAAAUCGUGAUCGAAAUCCUAAUUCGAGCUCCGGUGCAGACUCUUAUACGUUGCAGGUCGGUGUCGAAACAAUGGCGUGCCACAAUUGACGAUCCUGAUUUCAUCAAAAGCCAAAUAAAUCACUCCAUCAAGACCAGCACCAAUAACACCCUCUUCAUCAAAGAAGAAUACGGCCAACAAUUCUUCGAUUACGACUUCGAUUGUUCCGGUUCCUGCGUGUCUAUGGAAUUCCGUGACCUACCAAAUAGUUCCCUGACUCAUUCCGUUUCAUUAGUGGGGUCUUCCAAUGGUUUGAUAUGCUUGAGGAAUGAAAGCAACGAUGAUAUUCUCAUAGUGAACCCGUCUACGCGAAAACAUCGGUGGAUGCCAGGUCUUUUGCCUCUUAAAUUCCAUAGUUGUGUUAAUUUGACCUGGGAUGGAACUGGUUUUCGUGGGUCAGGAUAUGGGUUCGGGUAUGAUCGUGUAUCUGAUGAUUAUAAGAUUGUGAGGAUUGCACAAGUGCAUAAUCCUGCUAAUGAUGGGUUCUUGGAAUCUGAAGUGCUGAUUUGUAAAGUAAAAACCAAAAUUGUGAGAGCAGUUAAAAUACCUUUUGUAGUUCCUACUAGUCAUAGGAUGGCUGUGCUUGUUAAUGAGGCUCUGCAUUGGAUAGCUUUUAGAUAUGAUGAUCCAAGGGUUUCGGAUGUAAUUGUAGUUUAUGAUCUGGUGACUGAUGAAUUUUGCGAGUUUCCACUGCCUGAGCUUGUUGAUGAUAAUAGGUUUGGAAUGGAUUUUGGUUUAUUAGGAACAUGGUUAUGCUUAUUUGUUGAUCAUGAAGAUGAGGGUGUUGACGCUGUUUGGGUGAUGAAAGAAUAUGGGGUUAAGGAAUCUUGGACUGAGCUCUUUUCAAUUUCAUAUACUGAAUUGAAAUAUGCCUAUGUGAGACCUUUGGGUUUUUCAAAGAGAAGGUUGAAAGUUUUGUUGGAGUUGGAUGGAAACAGACUUGUUUGGUAUGACAUAGAGAAGAAAAAAGCUGAACACUUUGUGCUUCAUGGGUUGCAAAUGACACACUUUACAGCCACUAUUCUUUUGAGAAGCCUUGCACCAGUUCCAGCUGAUACAAAUCGAGGAAUGGAUGAGAAGCACCAGCAUCCAAAGAGAAAAAAAAAAAAAAAAAA